CCAAGCCCCGCUGCCGGGAUACGGGGCCGCCGAACCGCGCCGCGCGCGGCACCUACCUACCUGACAAGCCGAGCCCCUCCACCACAGCGUGACGUCACAGCCCCGCCGGCGUCCCGUGAGCGCUGCCAACGAAUCAGCGCGGACCUCUCGCCACCCGACAGCCAAUCCACAUGAACUCCGCCCCCUCGUGACACUCUAGGUCCAGCAACCAAUUCCGUAGAGAAGACUGACCUGCCGUUCCCGCCCCUGCUCUAAAGGAAGCCAGGCGAUUGGCAGAGGAGGCUAGUGGGCGGGACACUGGAAGGCGUGAGGAGGGCGUGGCCUCUGUCUGCGCCGCUAGCUAUAAAUGCUGCGUUCUGAAGCUUGAUGUUGCUGUUGGCCUAACGGUUAGCAUAGAACCGUAUUCGAAUCCCGCGAAAAGAGCCAUCGUCGUAUUCCUUCUACUCCUCGGUGGCCGGGCCUCACGUGCCCGCUAGGCGGUGCGGGCGCGCACUGUUAUCGUUGCAGCGGUUUUUUACUUACAAGCGCGCCCUUUCCGUGGCACCAAGGGGGUCAAGCUUCCUUGUCAAGGGUCCACCCUGUCCUGCCUGGAUAUGGUUCCCCAGCAAGAGCUAGGUCCAGAUGUCAUAAAGCCUGUUGCUGUCCCAGAGAACCGGGAAGUAUCAAGUGGUUUACAGAGCGAAAAAUAUUUUAAAGUUCACCUUUAAGGAAUAACUGAGCUCUUUUUGCACAGCAAUCAGAAAGUAAAUAAACUAAGAAGGACAGUCCAGUAGGAAUAAGCUGUAGAAGUGGGAAGGGAGAGCCUCUACUGUCAACUAGAGCAGAAGCAGAAAGACCAACUGAAAAACAAAGAAACAUUUUGCUUUCCAAAACAGAAUGCCUUGAGGAGUAGAGAGGCAGUGGAGUGUGCUAGCACUAUCUUGCCACUCUGAAAUAUUGGCUGAAAAGAAAGCUCUUUGAGAGACGCGAUUUUGACUCUGCAUCCUAAAAUGGAGUCUCUUCAGAAAUGUGUGCCCUCAGAAAAAGAGAAAGUGAAUUGUUUUUUGGGAAGCUGCCAGGUGUUCAAGAGUGUCCAGUAAAGAGUAGAGAAAAGACCACAUGGAAUCAGAGUUUGAAGAAACAAAGGAAACUAUGAAAUAAAUGUCUAAACUUGCAAAAUACUCAUUAAAAACAAUCUUGGGCUGGAACAAAAUUUGAAAGCACUUGGGAAUUAAGUUAAGGUUUGAAAUAUGCAUAUCCUUGGAACAUCAGCUUUUUUUUUUUUUUUUUUGAGCCACAAGCCAUAGAAAAGCAAAUAACCAGCGGACACUCCAAAUGAUCCCAUAUAUAUAAAAAGAGGAAUUAUAGAAUCCCUACAUGUAAAAACAAAGUGUACAAUGGAGG